UUCAUCUUUUAAAGGACCUUUUGGUUAUUGUGACUAAUGCUGCUAUGAAGAUUUAUGUACAAAUAUCUGUUCGCAUUGCUGCUUUCAAGUUUUUAGUAGAGGCAAAGACCAGAGCUUGGAGAAUGUAAGCUGCUUAUCCAAGAUCAUGUAACUGGUAAAUGGAUGAUCCAGGAUUCAAACCCAGAAAAACCAAACCAACAAUGAAAAAAAAAAAGAAAAUGUAGCUAUUCCAGCUGACAACCCCUGCUGGGGACCCAGGAU